rnacentral:rRNA from 1 species
GUCGAACGGUAGCACAGAGAGCUUGCUCUCGGGUGACGAGUGGCGGACGGGUGAGUAAUGUCUGGGAAACUGCCUGAUGGAGGGGGAUAACUACUGGAAACGGUAGCUAAUACCGCAUAACGUCGCAAGACCAAAGAGGGGGACCUUCGGGCCUCUUGCCAUCAGAUGUGCCCAGAUGGGAUUAGCUAGUAGGUGGGGUAACGGCUCACCUAGGCGACGAUCCCUAGCUGGUCUGAGAGGAUGACCAGCCACACUGGAACUGAGACACGGUCCAGACUCCUACGGGAGGCAGCAGUGGGGAAUAUUGCACAAUGGGCGCAAGCCUGAUGCAGCCAUGCCGCGUGUAUGAAGAAGGCCUUCGGGUUGUAAAGUACUUUCAGCGGGGAGGAAGGGAGUAAGGUUAAUAACCUUAUUCAUUGACGUUACCCGCAGAAGAAGCACCGGCUAACUCCGUGCCAGCAGCCGCGGUAAUACGGAGGGUGCAAGCGUUAAUCGGAAUUACUGGGCGUAAAGCGCACGCAGGCGGUCUGUCAAGUCGGAUGUGAAAUCCCCGGGCUCAACCUGGGAACUGCAUUCGAAACUGGCAGGCUGGAGUCUUGUAGAGGGGGGUAGAAUUCCAGGUGUAGCGGUG